ACUCUAUUCAUUCACAACCAACAGAGAGAGUUUGAAUCGUUGCGGCAAACUGUGUCUGGUGAAGUGGGCGUCACCAAGAGCGCUUAAGAGAAAGUCUGUGUGUGGACCUGUGACUCUACAUGAAUGACUCAAGUGAAGAAACACGCGUGAAACCACUAUUUCAAAGGAAAAAGAAGAGGAAGAAGGGACAUCUUUAACUUUCGCAGUGGAACUUGAGUGCGCAUUUGCGCAAAGUCUCUCCAAAGUCACUUGGUAACUUUUGCGCACCAGUGCAGCUCCAUUCUCAAGCAGUUUUGGGUCACUGCGAGGAGAGACUGUCGUCCAGCAGAAUGGCGUCAGACGUGGGCCGUAGCACUUGAGGUCAGCCACUCACUCAGCGCACAGUGUUUAUUCUGUCUUCAGGUCCUCCUGGGAAGUUCCUACUUAAGAGUUCGGAAGUCAUAAUUAUGAUGUGAAGUGAUUUGGCUUGAAAUAAUACGGAUGAGUUGAGCAUAUUUAUGUGUCUUUAACCCAGCUAACAGGGAAUGUUCACAGAACUUGGUUAGAAUGUUAAUACAGUGUUCAUUCAAAGUUCGUGAGAUACACACUUAUCUAAUGUGUGUCAUUAUUUUGGAAUGUUCAGAGAACAUUCGAAAGUAACGUUCCCAUAAUGUUUGCAAAAUUAUUAAAUUAAAUGUUUGCAUAACCAAAAAAAAGAAGGAAAAAAAAAACGUUUUUGAAACAUUUAGAUAUUUAGAAUGUUCACACUUUUGUCAGAAGUAAUAUUUUCAUAACUUAAUGCAUAGUAACGUUAAACAUUCUUAGAACAUUUUUGUUAGCUGGGAACCUUACAAUGCAUUUUUAGUCUAAAUGAAGAAGAAAUGAUGCACAUUAGGUGCAAUUUAAGAUGAAUUGUAAAAAAUAUAUAUUUUAUCAUUCUUGUGAAACCGCAUAUAAUGACUGAAAAUGUAUUUCACAAAAUGUUUACAAAUUAGUUUUACAUUAUAUCAACAUUCACACCCUUGGUUCCACA
ensembl:lncRNA